UACGAAGGGGGCUAGCGUUGUUCGGAAUCACUGGGCGUAAAGGGCGCGUAGGCGGCCAUGCGUGUCUUCCGUGAAAUCCCUCGGCUCAACCGAGGACGUGCGGAAGAAACUGCAAGGCUCGAGUCCGGAAGAGGGGGGCGGAAUUCCCAGUGUAGCGGUGAAAUGCGUAGAUAUUGGGAGGAACACCAGUGGCGAAGGCGGUCCCCUGGGCCGGUACUGACGCUGAUGCGCGAAAGCGUGGGUAGCAAACGGG
rnacentral:rRNA from 1 species